rnacentral:rRNA from 1 species
AACUGCGAGUGAAGCGGGAAAAGCUCAAAUUUAAAAUCUGGUAGUCUUUGGCUGCCCGAGUUGUAGUCUGGAGAAGUGUCUUCCGCGCUGGACCGUGUACAAGUCUCUUGGAACAGAGCGUCAUAGAGGGUGAGAAUCCCGUCCAUGACACGGACUACCAGUGCUUUGUGAUGCGCUCUCAAAGAGUCGAGUUGUUUGGGAAUGCAGCUCAAAAUGGGUGGUAAAUUCCAUCUAAAGCUAAAUAUUGGCGAGAGACCGAUAGCGAACAAGUACCGUGAGGGAAAGAUGAAAAGCACUUUGGAAAGAGAGUUAAACAGUACGUGAAAUUGCUGAAAGGGAACCGCUUGAAGUCAGUCGCGUCGUCUAGAACUCAACCUUGCUUUUGCUUGGUGCACUUUCUAGUUGACGGGCCAACAUCAGUUUUGACUGCCGGAUAAAAGCCUUUGGAAUGUGGCACCUACGGGUGUGUUAUAGCCUUUGGUUGUAUACGGUGGUUGGGACUGAGGACCGCAGCACGCCUUAUGGCCGGGGUUCGCCCACGUACGUGCUUAGGAUGUUGGCGUAAUGGCUUUAAGCGACCCGUCUUGAAACACGGACCAAGGAGUCUAACAUGCCUGCGAGUGUUUGGGUGGUAAACCCGAGCGCGUAAUGAAAGUGAAAGUUGGGAUCCCUGUCGUGGGGAGCACCGACGCCCAUACCAGACCUUCUGUGACGGAUAUGCGGUUGAGCAUGUAUGUUGGGACCCGAAAGAUGGUGAACUAUGCCUGAAUAGGGUGAAGCCAGAGGAAACUCUGGUGGAAGCUCGUAGCGAUUCUGACGUGCAAAUCGAUCGUCAAAUUUGGGUAUAGGGGCGAAAGACUAAUCGAACCAUCUAGUAGCUGGUUCCUGCCGAAGUU